AUUGAACGCUGGCGGCAUGCCUUACACAUGCAAGUCGAACGGCAGCACGGGUGCUUGCACCUGGUGGCGAGUGGCGAACGGGUGAGUAAUACAUCGGAACAUGUCCUGUAGUGGGGGAUAGCCCGGCGAAAGCCGGAUUAAUACCGCAUACGAUCCACGGAUGGAAGCGGGGGACCUUCGGGCCUCGCGCUAUAGGGUUGGCCGAUGGCUGAUUAGCUAGUUGGUGGGGUAAAGGCCUACCAAGGCGACGAUCAGUAGCUGGUCUGAGAGGACGACCAGCCACACUGGGACUGAGACACGGCCCAGACUCCUACGGGAGGCAGCAGUGGGGAAUUUUGGACAAAGGGCGAAAGCCUGAUCCAGCAAUGCCGCGUGUGUGAAGAAGGCCUUCGGGUUGUAAAGCACUUUUGUCCGGAAAGAAAUCCUUGACUCUAAUACAGUCGGGGGAUGACGGUACCGGAAGAAUAAGCACCGGCUAACUACGUG
rnacentral:rRNA from 1 species